rnacentral:tRNA from 1 species
GUGGUAGUGUCCGAGCGGUUAAGGAGCAGGAUUGUGACUCCUGUUUUCGUGGGUUCGAAUCCCAUCUAUCACCCCA